rnacentral:tmRNA from 1 species
GGGGCUGAUUCUGGAUUCGACGGGAUUUGCGAAACCCAAGGUGCAUGCCGAGGGGCGGUUGGCCUCGUAAAAAGCCGCAAAAAAUAGUCGCAAACGACGAAAACUACGCUUUAGCAGCUUAAUAACCUGCUUAGAGCCCUCUCUCCCUAGCCUCCGCUCUUAGGACGGGGUUCAAGAGAGGUCAAACCCAAAAGAGAUCGCGUGGAAGCCCUGCCUGGGGUUGAAGCGUUAAAACUUAAUCAGGCUAGUUUGUUAGUGGCGUGUCCGUCCGCAGCUGGCAAGCGAAUGUAAAGACUGACUAAGCAUGUAGUACCGAGGAUGUAGGAAUUUCGGACGCGGGUUCAACUCCCGCCAGCUCCACCA